rnacentral:tmRNA from 1 species
GGGGGUGUUCCGGAUUCGACUGUGAUUUGGAAGAUUCGGUUGCGUACCGAGGAUGAUGCUUGGCCUCGUGAAAAAUGCGUCAAAAACACUACAUGGCGAAUCUAACGUCAUCAGCUUCGAGCCUGAGUUCGAAGCGCUUGCAGCCUAAGUGUUGCACGUCCAUGUCGGCCGACGCCUGCUGAGUCGGCGGGGCGUCAAAAAAGCAGGCAAAACCUCGUAGCGUUUGGCUAUCUAUCGGAGGCUAAACGGUUGAAGAUAGUCUCGGUUCAGUAGGUGUUACUUCCUGAACGGAACUUAAAAACAUCAAGACAACUACGUGCGUAGACGCUGUUUAGGAAAAAUCACGGCACGCGGGUUCAACUCCCGCCACCUCCACCA